rnacentral:lncRNA from 1 species
CCGACUAAAAGGGACAGCUUCGACCGGCGACAACCAGUGAUGCCAUGCGGGAAGGCGGGCUCUGUGUUCCCCAAUACCCUGAGUGUUUUUUUCAAUAGAAGAUGGACUUUUCAACGUAUGCGGUAAGUUCAGUUUUCAAAAAAACGAAAUCCACUGAGCAAGUAUCUGUCUGCAGAUUGGAUCCAGGACGCACAGAGCACAUAGUUUGCUUCUUGAGUGGUUGCAGAGCCGUGGGCAUUGGGAGCAGCUGCAGCCUUCCCCAGGACCGGGGCCAGGCCAGUUC